rnacentral:rRNA from 1 species
UGGGGAAUAUUGGACAAUGGACCGAGAGUCUGAUCCAGCAAUUCUGUGUGCACGAUGAAGUUUUUCGGAAUGUAAAGUGCUUUCAGUUGGGAAGAAAAAAAUGACGGUACCAACAGAAGAAGUGACGGCUAAAUACGUGCCAGCAGCCGCGGUAAUACGUAUGUCACGAGCGUUAUCCGGAUUUAUUGGGCGUAAAGCGCGUCUAGGUGGUUAUGUAAGUCUGAUGUGAAAAUGCAGGGCUCAACUCUGUAUUGCGUUGGAAACUGUAUAACUAGAGUACUGGAGAGGUAAGCGGAACUACAAGUGUAGAGGUGAAAUUCGUAGAUAUUUGUAGGAAUGCCGAUGGGGAAGCCAGCUUACUGGACAGAUACUGACGCUAAAGCGCGAAAGCGUGGGUAGCAAACAGGAUUAGAUACCCUGGUAGUCCACGCUGUAAACGAUGAUUACUAGGUGUUGGGGGUCGAACCUCAGCGCCCAAGCAACGCGAUAAGUAAUCCGCCUGGGGAGUACGUACGCAGUAUG